CGGUUGCCCCCUCCCCCUGUCGGGCGGGGCUCCACAGCGGCAUCGCGAUGACCCUCGGCCGCGCGAGGCUGGCGAGCUGGUAGCCGCCCCCGAGACAGUGUUCUUCUCGGGCAGGCGCCCGUCGGAGCACAUAGGUUGUCCCUGCCUCCGGCGCCCCGGCUCGCUUGCCCUCCUCGACCCUGCUGUCCUGGUGCUGCGGCUGYCCCAGGCGCAGGUGGCGUGGACGAGGGAGCCGGCCGCCUACUGCCCCGGCCGGGACUCGCCAGUCACCCUAGUGUGCAUAGAGCAAACCUUCUGAGCUGCUGGAAAGGAACAGAUUGUCUGGCCAAGCAGCUUGAGGACAGGGAACUUAUCCUCAGGAGAACAAAGGAAUCCGGAACUUUUGCCAAGGAAUGCAGGCCUCCAGAGAUAAGAAGCAGAGGCAUGUGGGGACAAG